rnacentral:rRNA from 1 species
UCUGGUAAUGAUGGCAGAGAGGCCACACCCGUUCCCAUACCGAACACGGAAGUUAAGCUCUCUAGCGCCGAU